rnacentral:rRNA from 1 species
AUGCAGUCGAGCGGUAAGGCCCUUCGGGGUACACGAGCGGCGAACGGGUGAGUAACACGUGGGUGACCUGCCCUCAGCUCUGGGAUAAGCCUGGGAAACUGGGUCUAAUACCGGAUAUGACCACAUGUCGCAUGGUGUGUGGUGGAAAGUUUUUUCGGCUGGGGAUGGGCCCGCGGCCUAUCAGCUUGUUGGUGGGGUGAUGGCCUACCAAGGCGACGACGGGUAGCCGGCCUGAGAGGGCGACCGGCCACACUGGGACUGAGACACGGCCCAGACUCCUACGGGAGGCAGCAGUGGGGAAUAUUGCGCAAUGGGCGGAAGCCUGACGCAGCGACGCCGCGUGGGGGAUGACGGCCUUCGGGUUGUAAACCUCUUUCGCUAUCGACGAAGCCCCUUCGGGGGUGACGGUAGGUGGAGAAGAAGCACCGGCCAACUACGUGCCAGCAGCCGCGGUAAUACGUAGGGUGCGAGCGUUGUCCGGAAUUAUUGGGCGUAAAGAGCUCGUAGGCGGUGUGUCACGUCGAUCGUGAAAACUUGGGGCUUAACUCUGAGCUUGCGGUCGAUACGGGCAUCACUGGAGUUCGGCAGGGGAGACUGGAAUUCCUGGUGUAGCGGUGAAAUGCGCAGAUAUCAGGAGGAACACCGGUGGCGAAGGCGGGUCUCUGGGCCGAUACUGACGCUGAGGAGCGAAAGCGUGGGGAGCGAACAGGAUUAGAUACCCUGGUAGUCCACGCCGUAAACGGUGGGCGCUAGGUGUGGGGGCCAUUCCACGGUCUCUGUGCCGCAGCUAACGCAUUAAGCGCCCCGCCUGGGGAGUACGGCCGCAAGGCUAAACUCAAAGGAAUUGACGGGGCCCGCACAG